rnacentral:misc_RNA from 1 species
ACCACAACCACCAUCACCAUUGUCACCACCACCACUGCAGCCACCAGCUUGCUACCACCUCCUUCAAAGUUGCAACUGCUACCAGGAUUGUCACCCCUCCACCACCCUAUCAUUGCUACCAACACCACCAUUACCUCCACAGCCACCCUCACCCCUACCUCUGCUACCACCAGCACCGCAAUGCCAGUCACCCUCCAACACCCUAUCAUAUCUACCACAGCCACUACCCCACUGCUACCAUUUCAUUGCCACUGCCAGUAGCAGCACCACCACCACACUGCCAUUGUCAUCCCACCAACAUCACUACCUCCACCACUACCCCGCAAUCACUAUCACCACCACCACCACUCCAUUGUUACCACCCCCCUACCUCAUCACUAUAACAGCCACCACCACCCCACUGUCAUUGAUGCCCCCACCAGCACUGCUACCAUUAUUUAAGAGUAUAAAUAAGGGCUAUAUAGAAAAAAAUAAUAAUUUAUUAAGUGGUGUAUAUAGUUGUUAUAUAUAGGAACAAUAUAUAAACUGUAUAAUGAUAACAAACAAAACCUAAGAUGGUCAUUUUUAUUUAAGGAAGGAACAACAAAGAAAUGGCUAACUAAAGAAAACAACAACAAACAAGCAACCUUUAUGAGAUGCACAAUUAACGAGAACAAUAUCAAAUAUCUUGGUCAUUCUUUAAUAUAAUUUUGCAAAUUUUCCUACAGGAUUUUGCAAAGCUGUGGUCCUGCACAGGCUACUUGAAUUUUCCCUCUAUCAGUUUCCACAAAAUGUCAUUUGUCUAUUCUCUGUAAACCCCUUCGUGUGCGUUGUGCAAAAGGGGAAAUUUUUAUUCUGCUAUUUUAAGGACACAUACAAUCUCAGAUCCAUGCUUGUAGUUCCAGCACAAAACUAGCUAAACAGCCCAUUGCUCAUCCGAAAAAAAAAUCCAAACAUACAAUUAUACAUAUAAGUACAUAAAAAAUAUGCAAAAAUACAUGUGUAUACUGUAUACAUGUUUUUGUAUGCAUAAACACACACAUUUUUUAUGUGCAUACAUAUAGGCACAGCACUGAAAAAUGAACCAUCAGCAGAUCAUGCAUUGACAUGAAAAGAAACCAUCUGGAAGUAAAAGUCCAGUACC